rnacentral:rRNA from 1 species
UUUUUGGUGACUCAUAAUAACUUUACGGAUCACAUUAUGUGACAUAUCAUUCAAGUUUCUGACCUAUCAGCUUUAGACGGUAGGGUAUUGGCCUACCGUGGCUAUGACGGGUAACGGGGAAUUAGGGUUCGAUUCCGGAGAGGGAGCCUGAGAAACGGCUACCACAUCUAAGGAAGGCAGCAGGCGCGCAAAUUACCCAAUCCUAAUACAGGGAGGUAGUGACAAGAAAUAACAAUACAGAACCUUACGGUUUUGUAAUUGGAAUGAGUUAAGUAUAAACCCCUUAACAAGUAUCAAUUGGAGGGCAAGUCUGGUGCCAGCAGCCGCGGUAAUUCCAGCUCCAAUAGCGUAUAUUAAAGUUGUUGCAGUUAAAAAGCUCGUAGUUAAUCUUCUGUUAAUUUUUAUAUAUAAUAUUUCGAUAUUUAUAUAAUAUUAACAUAAUUCAUAUUACUUUUUAGUAUAUGAAACUUUACUUUGAGAAAAUUAGAGUGCUUAAAGCAGGCUAUUGCCUUGAAUACUCCAGCAUGGAAUAAUAUUAAGGAUUUUUAUUCUUCUUAUUGGUUCUAGAAUAAAAAUGAUGAUUAAUAGGAACAGUUGGGGGCAUUUGUAUUUAACAGUCAGAGGUGAAAUUCUUAGAUUUGUUAAAGACAAACUACUGCGAAAGCAUUUGCCAAGGAUGUUUUCAUUAAUCAAGAACGAAAGUUAGGGGAUCGAAGACGAUCAGAUACCGUCGUAGUCUUAACCAUAAACUAUGCCAAC